CAAGUGGCCAUGCUCCGGAGGCUGGAAAGUUAGAAAGUCUGGGAGGGUGGCGGAGGCGGAGCUUCUCAGAGAUGCUCACUCUCGGUUCUCGCAGCUGAGCAGGGAUUUAACCACCACCAUGUCUAGCAAAAGGGCAAAGACCAAGACCACCAAGAAGCCCUCAGUGUGCAAUGUCAAUGUGUUCGCCAUGUUUGACCAGUCCCAGAUCCAGAAGUUCAAAGAGGCCUUUAACAUGAUUGACCAGAUCCGGGAUGGCUUCAUUGACAAGGAGGACCUGCACGACAUUCUGGCUCCAAUGGGAAAAAACCCAACUGACGAAUACCUGGAUGCCAUGAUGAACGAGGCCCCGGGCCCCAUCAAUUUCACCAUGUUCCUCACCAUGUUUGAGGAGAAGCUGAACGGCACUGACCCCGAGGACGUCAUCAGAAACGCCUUCGCUUGCUUUGAUGAGGAAGCCACAGGCACCAUCCAGGAGGAUUACCUGAGGGAGCUGCUGACCACCAUGAGCGACCGCUUCACAGACGAUGAGGUGGAUGAGCUGUACAGAGAGGCCCCCAUUGACAAAAGGGGGAAUUUCAACUACAUUGACUUCACAGGCAUCCUGAAGCACGGAGCGAAAGACAAAGAUGACUGAAGAGCUGCGGCUUCCAGCUGAUUGCUCCCUGUUGCCAUUGGGGUAUUUCUGAGAUUUUUCUCCUGGAGCCCAAUGCAUGCCCUAGCUUUACUGCUUUUUGCCUUUCUUGUUUUGUAUUUAUUCUCAGCCAUUUUGGGCCACAUGUAUCUUUAUAAUACUGGAAAUGGGACUUUCUGUCAUUAUCUGAUGAGAAAGUAAGUUAAUUUAACUUACAGGCAGUCUUGUCCCUUGUAAUAACUGCAGCCCAGAAUCAACAUUUUUUUUCAGAGAAAGUUAUCUACUCAUUUUUUCCUGAAUGAUAAUUAAACUU